GUCAGAUAUGAUGACACCAUGACAUCUUAACCAGCCUCCUUCGAGAAUGGAAACUUCAGAGUUUAAAAGGGUUUUACUUUUGGAUUCCGUCGGGAACGAUACCCCCAUAUGGCCAAAGUAUAAUGUAUAUUACAAUGUUCAGAAUGACCAGCCCUAAGAACAAAUAAAAAGAAAAUGUUGUGGAUUA